AUUGAACGCUGGCGGCAGGCUUAACACAUGCAAGUCGAGCGGGGUGAUGUAGCUUGCUACCUAACCUAGCGGCGGACGGGUGAGUAAUGCUUAGGAAUCUGCCUAUUAGUGGGGGACAACAUUCCGAAAGGAAUGCUAAUACCGCAUACGCCCUACGGGGGAAAGCAGGGGAUCUUCGGACCUUGCGCUAAUAGAUGAGCCUAAGUCAGAUUAGCUAGUUGGUGGGGUAAAGGCCUACCAAGGCGACGAUCUGUAGCGGGUCUGAGAGGAUGAUCCGCCACACUGGGACGGAGACACGGCCCAGACUCCUACGGGAGGCAGCAGUGGGGAAUAUUGGACAAUGGGCGAAAGCCUGAUCUAGCCAUGCCGCGUGUGUGAAGAAGGCCUUUUGGUUGUAAAGCACUUUAAGCGAGGAGGAGGCUACUUAGAUUAAUACUCUAGGAUAGUGGACGUUACUCGCAGAAUAAGCACCGGCUAACUCUGUGCCAGCCGCCGCCGUAACAC
rnacentral:rRNA from 1 species